GGACCUUUAACUGUACCUUUAACUGUAAAAGAGUGUGUGUGUGUGGUUAAUAGGCUCAAUGUUGGUAAAUGUAACACCACACUUUUCUUGGGUAUGAUUCAGAUAGUGGCUAGUUAUACACAGGAUGGCAGACAUUGCUAGAGCUGAAGCAAGUAAAGAUGGUCAUAUAGCAGCUAGAAUCAUUUUUCCUAAUGGAACCCAAGUAAUUAGACAAUUGCCUCUUUUAGACAGAGAUGGGGAUGAUAUGACAUUUGGGGAGAAACUAAACAGUAAAGUUUUGAAUACCGUGAAAGAAAUAGAUCUGGGUUUGUCAGAUCUUGUUAGGAAAGAAAAAAAAUGGCAGACAUUUCUAGAGCUGAAGCAAGUAAAGAUGGUCAUAUAGCAGCUAGAAUCAUUUAUCCUAAUGGAUCUCAACGAAAAGAACAGUUACCUUUAGUAGACAGAGAUGGGGAUGAUAUGACAUAUGGGGAGAUUAAAAAAAAACUACUUGCAGAGAAUGAGCCAGGGUUGGAUCCAAACAACUACAAUCUAGUGCUAAUUGAAGAAAAUAAUUCUAUCAUGCCAGAUGGAGCUUAUAUCAUGGAUUCUCUUCAACAGUUAUUACUUAAAACACCACCAACAUUUACUUUUCAUUCAACAAAAAUAGCUAUAGCCAAUCCAGCUAUAGUCAACUAAUUUGAGCAGCUACAGUCACAAGUGUUAUGUUCUCUCAUUGUAUUAGAGUAACACCAAAUGUUUUAGAAAAAGUAAAAGUAAUAUGCAACUAAUUGUUGACCAAUUUGAUUUUUAGCUUUGCUCUUCCCCUCACUACAAUUCUUGUCUUUGUUUUUGUCCCUAGUCCCUUUUUUCAAAAUACAGGUCUUUUUUCUCCCUUGUCUUUGUCACAUUUUAGUGUCUUAUUUCUCUUCCUUUAGUCUUCGUCACCUAUUUAUUUCAAACACUUUUAUAAAAUUGUGAAUGUCCUGUGAAUGACCUAAUGGAAUAAGUUUCUAGACAUACACAUAAAGUUCUCGUAAUAUCAUUGUAAGCUAACUAACGGAACAACAUAGCCUCUUAGUAUCUAUAUCAGUGGUCUUCAACGGGGGCGAUAUCGCCCCCUAGGGGGCGUUUUCAAGAUUUUGGGGUCGCUGGGAGCCAAAAAUGCGGUAGGGGGGCGCUGGGCACAAAAGGGGCGGUAAGGGGCGCUGGGCAUAAAGGCGGAAAAAAGAAACUAAAAGGGCACUAAAACAAAACAAAUUUUAAAAUUCUUCAAAAUUAAAGCUGGCAAACAAAUUAAAGUUAGAUUGCUUCUAAUUUAAGAACAGAAACAGCGUUAGAAAUUGAGUUCAGCAAUCCCAUUUUCUAUUUUUAAAUUCUUUUUUGUUUCUGUACCGUAGGGUAUCUAGUGUCUUUAGAUUUUGCGAGCAUAAGCGUUUAAGAUUUGAUAAACAAAGUAGGCAAUACGCCUUUCAGAUUAUAGUUUAUUUUAUCUACAUAUGUAAAUAUAUUGAUAUGACAAUGUGAACUGAAUCAAACGUUAAAGCUAACAUUCUAAUAAAAUAAUUUAAUUUUUUUAAAAACAAAAAACAUUGACAAAGUGUUGUUACAAAAGCUCGAUGGUAUUUAAAGGUAUAUUGCUAAAGGUUUUAGUGAAUUGCUACUAGAUAAAAAGUAUCCCAAUGUUCUACUUUGAAUGACGACAUUUCAGAUGAGGUUAUGAAACUAAGUUGGCUUCACGAACAUAAAGAAAUAUCCCAAAAUAAUUUAAGAAUAUUCAUGAACAAUUAUACAAAUCUACUAUUAAAACAAUAUUGAAACCAAAAAAAGGCAAAGCAAUAUAUGUUUUAGUGGUCUCCGAGAAAAAUGCAUAGCUUUUUUUAAAGUCUUAUGAUAUUGUUUGAAAAUUGAUUAAAUCUAAAAAUAUUUUUUUUUUAAACAUAGGUUACACAAAACGACUUUUUUUUUUCCUUUAGUGAUGAAAUAUUAUUUUAAAAUAGUCUAGGUAUGUAGCUUAUGACGACAUAUAGGGAACCAUCAAUGGUUGGAAGCUUCAAUGACUUCAUAAGUAAUAUAGAAUAAAGAACAGAUCUAUUCACUAUUCACCUUGCGAGUAUGAUACACAAGAAAAAUUUAGCUAGCAAAUUGAUUUCUAUUUGAAUCUAAUUAUCUUCUUCUUCUAGCCAGCUUUAUUGCUGCGUAGCCGUGAGCUCUUUUGCAGACUGUGCCAAGGAAAAAUAGUGUGCUGUUUUCUUCAGUUGUUCAGCACUGCCAUACAGGGUGUUGGUUAUGUUGGACUGUAGUGAAAGUAGGGUCUGCCUAAGGUGGGUUAGGUGGAUUCAAAGAGGAUAUGGUUUACGGUUUCAUAAGGGUGGAUGCAGUGUCUACAAAGGGGGAGUUGUGUGGAACUUAUUUUGUUCAGAUGGUAAUUUAACAGAGGUGUGUGUACUGUUCUUAGUUGGAAAAUUGUAGAUUGCUCUUUGCGGGAGAGGAAGUUAAUACUGUCCAGUUUGUUAGGUAUGGUCAUUUGUUUUGUACAUGGCUCUGCCUGUGUUUCCUGAUGCCCAUUGGUUGAGCCACUCCUCUUUGUGUUUGUUGACUAACAUUGACCUUAGGGUUAGGUAGUUAAAAGGUCUAUCUGGUUGUUACAAGACCGGAGGAAUGCUCCCGUCACCACAGCGUUGGCCCUCCGGUGGAAACGUCCGCCAAGGGAGUCGGAUAGGCCAAGUACGGUAGCAAACAUAGCCCUCAGUGGGCUACCACACGUAUCCUCUAGAGAGGGUACAUUACACGUGGUAGGGAUGGAAAAAAGCCCGUUUUCCAAAGGGACCCAUACGUGUGGUGAUGGUCUCCCCACUGGUACGAUGGGACAGUAUAGGCAUAAGGAUGGCCCCCACGUGGGGCUUGAGUUUCCAGCCACACAUGAAAGGAGAAAUUCAUGCAGAGGUUCGGAAGAAUAUGCAACAUGCCAAGACGGGUGUGAAUAAAUGAUCACUUAGUCGACGGGGGCCUCCUGACAGAGAGAUCGGUGAAGAGCCAAUUUCUCAUCCAGGCCACGAAAUAAAAGACUUUCUCGGGUCACAUGGCUCAUAAAAGGGGGCGUGCUUGCCUCGAACCAUGUGGACAUCUGAACCAGGUUGUUACAAGAAACACUACUGCCCAAGAAAAAAAUAAACAUCACAGGCUACACACAGUACAGAUGCCUUUGCACCAAAUGUCAGGGAAUUAUGACCCUCAUAAGAAACGACACUCAAGCAACAGUAAAACACGUACAGAACACUACAGAUAUCGACAUGCAGGAAAUACUUCUUUGGAGAGAAGGAACUAAGUACACCAUCCAAAACGUCUAUUGCCCACCAUCCUCAACGGCAGAAAUAGACCUACACCUACCACACUACACAAGAAUCUAAUUAUAAAAUUGUAAAUUAAAAAAAACAAAACAUGCCGAACAUAAUCUCCUGUUUCAAACAGUUUUGUGAAACAAAUGAUGAACAUGAUGUUAGACUCUUGUUGUAAACUGAAGUUCGCUGGAUUGUGAAACAAAUGAUGAACAUGAUGUUAGACUCUUGUUGUAAACUGAAGUUCGCUGGAUUGUGAAACAAAUGAUGAACAUGAUGUUAGACUCUUGUUGUAAACUGAAGUUCGCUGGAUUGUGAAACAAAUGAUGAACAUGAUGUUAGACUCUUGUUGUAAACUGAAGUUCGCUGGAUUGUGAAACAAAUGAUGAACAUGAUGUUAGACUCUUGUUGUAAACUGAAGUUCGCUGGAUUGUGAAACAAAUGAUGAACAUGAUGUUAGACUCUUGUUGUAAACUGAAGUUCGCUGGAUUGUGAAACAAAUGAUGAACAUGAUGUUAGACUCUUGUUGUAAACUGAAGUUCGCUGGAUUGUGAAACAAAUGAUGAACAUGAUGUUAGACUCUUGUUGUAAACUGAAGUUCGCUGGAUUGUGAAACAAAUGAUGAACAUGAUGUUAGACUCUUGUUGUAAACUGAAGUUCGCUGGAUUGUGAAACAAAUGAUGAACAUGAUGUUAGACUCUUGUUGUAAACUGAAGUGCGCUGGAUUUUGAAAGGCGUUUGCUAUUGCUCGUUUCGUUAAGCUCUUAAAUACAAUUUUGAUUUUUGUUUGAGAAACAGGAAUAUUCAAAGGUUGGCGAUGACUAAAAGCAGGCUAAAAAAAUUGUUUUACAUGGUAGGCAUCUAACACGAAUGAAUGAAACGAACCUCCGACUGCUAGGAAAGAAAUGGACUUUCAUUGAUUAUAUCGUUUUUCUUUUAUCGAGAUAUUAAAUCUAUUUUAAAGAGUUUUACAAUCUCACGUAACUUGUUUGUUGACAAAUGAAUUACUACAAAAGGACAUCGAUAUCUAUGCAAUUCACAUAACAAUGCUCUAUGAAUAAAUUACGAUUCGCUUCUAAAAUUUAAACAAAUUAAUUAUAAAUGAAAAUUAUUAAACAAACUUUACUGAUGUUCAAUAUUGAUUUGCAGGAAAAAAUAGAUUAACAAAAUUAUGUAUUCAGUAAAAAAGAAUGUUAACAUAGGAGGCACACAGUGACAUAGUCAGGGUGGGUGGAGAAGGGGGGAAUUAGACAGCAUAAAAAUUAAUAAAAAGAUGACAUUUUGUUCAAAUUUGCCUUUUCACGCUUCUUUAUAACUGUUUUUCUUAGAGGGGGGCGCUGGCCAAUUUUUUAAAAGAAAUAAUACGAAAAGGGGGUGGUAGGCCAAAAAGGGUUGAAGACCACUGAUCUAUAUGAUCAUUGUUUCAGUUUAAACUUAAUACCUUGUAAACAGAGAGUGAGUAUGCUUGUAUUUAAGUGAAAUUUAUGAGAAAUCACAAGAAACAUAGAUAAACUGUGACUUUGUUUAAGUUAGGAUGUGAAAACUUUUUCACUUAGUGGGUUUCUAAAAUCAAGUGUUAAAAAAAAAACUUUUAUAGAAAUAAAAAAAAAUUGUGGAUAUAAUUUUUUUUUUUUAGAAAUGCUUCUAUUCAUUACUACUUCAGCAUACAUCAUAUUUCUUAAAUGCGCUCUUAUAUUGAAAUAUCAAUCCUACUUACUUCAGUUAAUGUAAAAUGCAUGUUUUUAAAAUCUUUUUAAAAUUUGAAUGUAACUUUUGAGUUUGACCAAAAAUAGUGCCUGUUGAGACUAUGCUGAUGGAAAUAUAUGUUAAAUAAUCGAAUGUAUCUGUUUUGUUACAGAUGUGUCAUGUUUAAGAAAUUACCAACCAUUUUUUCUCAAUUUAACAUACCUUUGAUGAUAGAUUUAAGAAGUGUACAGCAAAUAAAUGUUAUAUCAUAUUGUUGCUUCACUCCAUAAUCAUUACACAUGAAACUUAAUUUCACAUGAUAAAAUGUAAUGUAUUAAUAUUGUAAAAAGAAAAACAAAAUUCUAUUCCAAUAAAGUACCAGACAAAUGUUGUGCUAAAUUAUUAUCAUUGGUUCUCUUAAUCAUUACAUCUAUAUAUUGUUAUACUGUCUAUAGGUCUUAUGUUAUUGUGGCAUAUUGUGAUCAUUAUAAUGACUAACUAUCGUCAAAGACACCCAACAGAUGCCGAAAUUAAAAAUACCAGUCUUCAUCAGGAUUUUAACCUGGGACCCUCCAGUUCAGAAGCAAUGUGCUUUACCUCUCAGCCACUGUGCAUUUCACACAUGUAUAUAAAUAAAAGCUCAGAAAUUUAAACAUUCAAUAUAUAUUGUAGAACGAUUAUGCACCAAUAUUUCUUGCCAAUUUAUUAUUUUAUUACUACUUUGUAAUAGGUCAUUAAAACUCUCAUUGUGAGCCUUGA